rnacentral:rRNA from 1 species
CCUACGGGGGGCAGCAGUGAGGAAUAUUGGUCAAUGGGCGCGAGCCUGAACCAGCCAAGUAGCGUGAAGGAUGACUGCCCUACGGGUGGUAAACUUCUUUUAUAGAGGAAUAAAGUGAGGCACGUGUGCCUUUUUGUAUGUACUUUAUGAAUAAGGAAAGGCUAACUCCGUGCCAGCAGCCGCGGUAAUACGGAGGAUCCGAGCGUUAUCCGGAUUUAGUGGGUUUAAAGGGAGCGUAGAUGGGUUGUUAAGUCAGUUGUGAAAGUUUGCGGCUCAACCGGAAGAUUGCAAUUGAUACUGGCAGUCUUGAGUACAGUUGAGGUAGGCGGAAUUCGUGGUGUAGCGGUGAAAUGCUUAGAUAUCACGAAGAACACCGAUUGCGAAGGCAGCUUACUAAACUGCCACUGACAUUGAUGCUCGAAAGUGUGGGUAGCAAACAGGAUUAGAUACCCGGGUAGUC